rnacentral:rRNA from 1 species
UACGUAGGGUGCGAGCGUUGUCCGGAAUUAUUGGGCGUAAAGAGCUUGUAGGCGGUCUGUCGCGUCUGCUGUGAAAAUCCGGGGCUCAACCCCGGACUUGCAGUGGGUACGGGCAGACUAGAGUGUGGUAGGGGAGACCGGAAUUCCUGGUGUAGCGGUGAAAUGCGCAGAUAUCAGGAGGAACACCGAUGGCGAAGGCAGGUCUCUGGGCCACGACUGACGCUGAGAAGCGAAAGCAUGGGGAGCGAACAGG